rnacentral:rRNA from 1 species
UACGAAGGGGGCUAGCGUUGUUCGGAAUCACUGGGCGUAAAGGGCGCGUAGGCGGCUUUAUAAGUCGGGGGUGAAAGCCUGUGGCUCAACCACAGAAUUGCCUUCGAUACUGUAGAGCUUGAGACCGGAAGAGGUAAGUGGAACUGCGAGUGUAGAGGUGAAAUUCGUAGAUAUUCGCAAGAACACCAGUGGCGAAGGCGGCUUACUAGUCCGGUUCUGACGCUGAGGCGCGAAAGCGUGGGGAGCAAACAGG